AUACGUAGGGGGCAAGCGUUAUCCGGAUUUACUGGGUGUAAAGGGAGCGUAGACGGCAAAGCAAGUCUGAAGUGAAAGCCCCGGGCUCAACCCGGGAAUUGCUUUGGAAACUGUUUAGCUGGAGUGCAGGAGAGGUAAGCGGAAUUCCUAGUGUAGCGGUGAAAUGCGUAGAUAUUAGGAGGAACACCGGCGGCGAAGGCGGCUUACUGGACUGUAACUGACGUUGAGGCUCGAAAGCGUGGGGAGCAAACAGGAUUAGAUUCCCUGGUAGUCCACGCCGUAAACGAUGAUUACUAGGUGUUGGUUGUCAUAGACAAUCGGUGCCGCAGCAAACGCAAUAAGUAAUCCACCUGGGGAGUACGUUCGCAAGAAUGAAACUCAAAGGAAUUGACGGGG
rnacentral:rRNA from 1 species